UACAGAAUUGCGGCCAGUGGAGCAACAUAGCUGAUGAGUUAAUAGCACUAGUUCUUCAGACAAAUAACUUUAUUUUCAACCUAUAAAGCAUAUUUAGCUGUAGGUGGGGCCAUUUAGCUGUAAGAUCUGGCUUUUGUUCUGUUAAGCCCUUAGAGUAAUGAAUUUCAGAGUGAAGACCAUAGCGCCUUUUCCUAGUCAAGUAUCGGGCAGCUGUAUGUCUUUUCAGAAAUGCACAUGUCUUCUUAAGCAUGUCAUUGUGUUUGCUUUUAAUAAGAUAGGCAAUAAACUCAUAACCUUUAGACAAAUGAGCAUCUGUAAAUUCAGAUUUCACUAUUUCAGAGUUAGCCAGACCAUGAUUGAGCUUAAGGAUUGUGCUGCGGAUGCAGCCUGUGCAGUUCCGGGAGAAAGUCACUGUCUUGGGCAAUGCGGUCUGGUAUCAGGUCUGGAUGAUCCUUGCCUGACUGCGGGUUUGUGUACACCUCAAUCCGACUCUGUGUCCUGAACAGAGGCCGCAGUGGUGCAGCGCUUGUGGACGAUCCAUCAACAUCCUGAAAGGUCAACACUACACCAAGCUGGGAAAAUUGAUCUUGAUAGUCAUCCCCAGGCCUGACCGUUUGUCCUUGAGCCGUAGAUGGUCAACAAUCCGCUAGCUGUCUUGCUCUGACUGGUGCACUGGACAUGAUUUCAAUGUGAGUCAUCAUACUGAUUGUUUAAUUAACACAUGAAUUUCAGUUUGUUCGUUAAAGUACUAACUUAGCUGUGUAUUUACAGUGGACGUAGUGGUGCGCAGCAGGUGGUAGACUAGGUAUUUCCAUAAAUACACUAUGUUUACAGAAUUGCGGCCAGUGGAGCAACAUAGCUGAUGAGUUAAUAGCACUAGUUCUUCAGACAAAUAACUUUAUUUUCAACCUAUAAAGCAUAUUUAGCUGUAGGUGGGGCCAUUUAGCUGUAAGAUCUGGCUUUUGUUCUGUUAAGCCCUUAGAGUAAUGAAUUUCAGAGUGAAGACCAUAGCGCCUUUUCCUAGUCAAGUAUCGGGCAGCUGUAUGUCUUUUCAGAAAUGCACAUGUCUUCUUAAGCAUGUCAUUGUGUUUGCUUUUAAUAAGAUAGGCAAUAAACUCAUAACCUUUAGACAAAUGAGCAUCUGUAAAUUCAGAUUUCACUAUUUCAGAGUUAGCCAGACCAUGAUUGAGCUUAAGGAUUGUGCUGCGGAUGCAGCCUGUGCAGUUCCGGGAGAAAGUCACUGUCUUGGGCAAUGCGGUCUGGUAUCAGGUCUGGAUGAUCCUUGCCUGACUGCGGGUUUGUGUACACCUCAAUCCGACUCUGUGUCCUGAACAGAGGCCGCAGUGGUGCAGCGCUUGUGGACGAUCCAUCAACAUCCUGAAAGGUCAACACUACACCAAGCUGGGAAAAUUGAUCCUGAUAGUCAUCCCCAGGUAGUGGAAUGAAUGUACACUGAACUACAGAGGAAUCACACCCAAAUGACUUUCCUGCCACGACAUUAGUGUGGCCACUCGCGUAGGAAUUCCUUAGCAAACGUGCUCUUUUGCAUGGUGACUGUGGGCAUUUUUGCAAAACUUACGCUUUCAACACUGGAUUUUAAAGAGAAUACUUAAUAAAAUGUCGCUAACAGGACUUAUUUAUAUGAGAGAGACUAUCUGGAUGCGCAUUAAGUGUCACUUUGUGUCGUAAGCUGUUGAAGGAGCGCUUUGCGCCUUUUUAAGUGUUAAUUUUGGGUAGCCGGCUUGUAUCGGCUUGAAAGCUGCAAAUUAUGCCUCUCAUCAUAAUAGCAUUAAUUUUUGUAAUUGCAAUGUGUAUGUUUAGAUUGUAAGUGAAGCUUUUAAUAAUAAUUUUCUUAAAAAACAUGAUUUUAUAUGCUGUCAGUGAGUUUUUUAUUGAAAAAAAUGCUUAAAAUUAAAAAAAAGUCUCCUAUUUCAUCAAGAAAAGUACACUGAUUCACAAUCAAUACAUUUAUUUGGGCCUUUUGCUGAUAUAUUGGUGAAUUUCGCAUGCAAUGAUACCAGUUUUUGCCAUAAAAGUUACGCGUAACAAUAAUUGGAGACACAAAAUCAGCUGUCGUCACUUAGACUAAAAAUCAUGCAUUCCGACUUGACUGCGGCCAAUUUAGUCACCGCUUUAAAUGGCCAUUUUAAGGCCUUUACCCCCAUCCGAAUGCACUGAAAUUGCAUAUUCAUUGUGGAAAUAGUUGAAAUCUCAUGUGGAGAAAGUUUGAAAAAGAUGGGACAAAGUUGAGUUCCCUUAAAGGUUACAUUACACUAAAUCAUUGUGUAUCCCUCCGUGGUCCAUUCGAAAGUAGUGCCUAUUUCUAAAGAGUUCCUUUUCUCUUCUUGAAUAUAAGCCAUUUAACAAUGUGAGACAUGUCUUUUGUGGUUAUUUGUAAUAUCCUGUAUGUGUCUGGAGUACUUUGAUGCCUUGGAUUGGAAGCUAACUUAAAAGAUGAACUUUUGAGGGUGUGUUUUCUAUUGUGUGGGGCUUUUGUCGAAAUUAGGAUUCCGAAACGCGUUUUUCUACGGUGGGUUCAUUCGACAGCGAUUUACUUUCUUAGAAGUUGCGAGACGGUAUGUUUUUGAUUGCAAUUAUUGGAAGAUGACAGAUCCAUCUUUAAAAUUAUACCAGGUUCGGAAAAAUUGAUACGUCGGAAAGGCAAUAAAAAUGCUGUGAAAGUUGUCAGUUUUAUAAUGGGACCCUAUGGGAAUCGGAAUUAGUGUAAUAUAACCUUUAAAAAGCACAUUUACUGCAGUGUCAAGGUCACAUGGAUUCGUCUGCAAGCGAGACAAGUAGAAAAUGAAUUUUAAUGAAUGUUUUGAUGAUUUGGGUGCUAAAAUAGAUGAGAGAUGUCAAUAUUUUGGUCCAAAUGGAUGUUUAAGGUGGUUUUUGACUGUUCCGGAUGGGUGGGGGACCUGGUAUGGACAAGUAAGGGUAACAUUUCCAACAAAUCUUAAAUGUAAAUAUUAUUAUGUCCCUAGAUUGAAGUUUCAGGUGGAGAGCAAGAUGAAAAAUAUGCCAAAUUACAUGCAUGCAGCCCAUUUAUGCCAUUUUUCUCUUUGUUUGUAGGCCUGACCGUUUGUCCUUGAGCCGUAGAUGGUCAACAAUCCGCUAGCUGUCUUGCUCUGACUGGUGCACUGGACAUGAUUUCAAUGUGAGUCAUCAUACUGAUUGUUUAAUUAACACAUGAAUUUCAGUUUGUUUGUUAAAGUACUAACUUAGCUGUGUAUUUACAGUGGACGUAGUGGUGCGCAGCAGGUGGUAGACUAGGUAUUUCCAUAAAUACACUAUGUUUACAGAAUUGCGGCCAGUGGAGCAACAUAGCUGAUGAGUUAAUAGCACUAGUUCUUCAGACAAAUAACUUUAUUUUCAACCUAUAAAGCAUAUUUAGCUGUAGGUGGGGCCAUUUAGCUGUAAGAUCUGGCUUUUGUUCUGUUAAGCCCUUAGAGUAAUGAAUUUCAGAGUGAAGACCAUAGCGCCUUUUCCUAGUCAAGUAUCGGGCAGCUGUAUGUCUUUUCAGAAAUGCACAUGUCUUCUUAAGCAUGUCAUUGUGUUUGCUUUUAAUAAGAUAGGCAAUAAACUCAUAACCUUUAGACAAAUGAGCAUCUGUAAAUUCAGAUUUCACUAUUUCAGAGUUAGCCAGACCAUGAUUGAGCUUAAGGAUUGUGCUGCGGAUGCAGCCUGUGCAGUUCCGGGAGAAAGUCACUGUCUUGGGCAAUGCGGUCUGGUAUCAGGUCUGGAUGAUCCUUGCCUGACUGCGGGUUUGUGUACACCUCAAUCCGACUCUGUGUCCUGAACAGAGGCCGCAGUGGUGCAGCGCUUGUGGACAAUCCAUCAACAUCCUGAAAGGUCAACACUACACCAAGCUGGGAAAAUUGAUCCUGAUAGUCAUCCCCAGGCCUGACCGUUUGUCCUUGAGCCGUAGAUGGUCAACAAUCCGCUAGCUGUCUUGCUCUGACUGGUGCACUGGACAUGAUUUCAAUGUGAGUCAUCAUACUGAUUGUUUAAUUAACACAUGAAUUUCAGUUUGUUCGUUAAAGUACUAACUUAGCUGUGUAUUUACAGUGGACGUAGUGGUGCGCAGCAGGUGGUAGACUAGGUAUUUCCAUAAAUACACUAUGUUUACAGAAUUGCGGCCAGUGGAGCAACAUAGCUGAUGAGUUAAUAGCACUAGUUCUUCAGACAAAUAACUUUAUUUUCAACCUAUAAAGCAUAUUUAGCUGUAGGUGGGGCCAUUUAGCUGUAAGAUCUGGCUUUUGUUCUGUUAAGCCCUUAGAGUAAUGAAUUUCAGAGUGAAGACCAUAGCGCCUUUUCCUAGUCAAGUAUCGGGCAGCUGUAUGUCUUUUCAGAAAUGCACAUGUCUUCUUAAGCAUGUCAUUGUGUUUGCUUUUAAUAAGAUAGGCAAUAAACUCAUAACCUUUAGACAAAUGAGCAUCUGUAAAUUCAGAUUUCACUAUUUCAGAGUUAGCCAGACCAUGAUUGAGCUUAAGGAUUGUGCUGCGGAUGCAGCCUGUGCAGUUCCGGGAGAAAGUCACUGUCUUGGGCAAUGCGGUCUGGUAUCAGGUCUGGAUGAUCCUUGCCUGACUGCGGGUUUGUGUACACCUCAAUCCGACUCUGUGUCCUGAACAGAGGCCGCAGUGGUGCAGCGCUUGUGGACAAUCCAUCAACAUCCUGAAAGGUCAACACUACACCAAGCUGGGAAAAUUGAUCCUGAUAGUCAUCCCCAGGCCUGACCGUUUGUCCUUGAGCCGUAGAUGGUCAACAAUCCGCUAGCUGUCUUGCUCUGACUGGUGCACUGGACAUGAUUUCAAUAGUUAGCCAGACCAUGAUUGAGCUUAAGGAUUGUGCUGCGGAUGCAGCCUGUGCAGUUCCGGGAGAAAGUCACUGUCUUGGGCAAUGCGGUCUGGUAUCAGGUCUGGAUGAUCCUUGCCUGACUGCGGGUUUGUGUACACCUCAAUCCGACUCUGUGUCCUGAACAGAGGCCGCAGUGGUGCAGCGCUUGUGGACGAUCCAUCAACAUCCUGAAAGGUCAACACUACACCAAGCUGGGAAAAUUGAUCCUGAUAGUCAUCCCCAGGUAGUGGAAUGAAUGUACACUGAACUACAGAGGAAUCACACCCAAAUGACUUUCCUGCCACGACAUUAGUGUGGCCACUCGCGUAGGAAUUCCUUAGCAAACGUGCUCUUUUGCAUGGUGACUGUGGGCAUUUUUGCAAAACUUACGCUUUCAACACUGGAUUUUAAAGAGAAUACUUAAUAAAAUGUCGCUAACAGGACUUAUUUAUAUGAGAGAGACUAUCUGGAUGCGCAUUAAGUGUCACUUUGUGUCGUAAGCUGUUGAAGGAGCGCUUUGCGCCUUUUUAAGUGUUAAUUUUGGGUAGCCGGCUUGUAUCGGCUUGAAAGCUGCAAAUUAUGCCUCUCAUCAUAAUAGCAUUAAUUUUUGUAAUUGCAAUGUGUAUGUUUAGAUUGUAAGUGAAGCUUUUAAUAAUAAUUUUCUUAAAAAACAUGAUUUUAUAUGCUGUCAGUGAGUUUUUUAUUGAAAAAAAUGCUUAAAAUUAAAAAAAAGUCUCCUAUUUCAUCAAGAAAAGUACACUGAUUCACAAUCAAUACAUUUAUUUGGGCCUUUUGCUGAUAUAUUGGUGAAUUUCGCAUGCAAUGAUACCAGUUUUUGCCAUAAAAGUUACGCGUAACAAUAAUUGGAGACACAAAAUCAGCUGUCGUCACUUAGACUAAAAAUCAUGCAUUCCGACUUGACUGCGGCCAAUUUAGUCACCGCUUUAAAUGGCCAUUUUAAGGCCUUUACCCCCAUCCGAAUGCACUGAAAUUGCAUAUUCAUUGUGGAAAUAGUUGAAAUCUCAUGUGGAGAAAGUUUGAAAAAGAUGGGACAAAGUUGAGUUCCCUUAAAGGUUACAUUACACUAAAUCAUUGUGUAUCCCUCCGUGGUCCAUUCGAAAGUAGUGCCUAUUUCUAAAGAGUUCCUUUUCUCUUCUUGAAUAUAAGCCAUUUAACAAUGUGAGACAUGUCUUUUGUGGUUAUUUGUAAUAUCCUGUAUGUGUCUGGAGUACUUUGAUGCCUUGGAUUGGAAGCUAACUUAAAAGAUGAACUUUUGAGGGUGUGUUUUCUAUUGUGUGGGGCUUUUGUCGAAAUUAGGAUUCCGAAACGCGUUUUUCUACGGUGGGUUCAUUCGACAGCGAUUUACUUUCUUAGAAGUUGCGAGACGGUAUGUUUUUGAUUGCAAUUAUUGGAAGAUGACAGAUCCAUCUUUAAAAUUAUACCAGGUUCGGAAAAAUUGAUACGUCGGAAAGGCAAUAAAAAUGCUGUGAAAGUUGUCAGUUUUAUAAUGGGACCCUAUGGGAAUCGGAAUUAGUGUAAUAUAACCUUUAAAAAGCACAUUUACUGCAAUGUCAAGGUCACAUGGAUUCGUCUGCAAGCGAGACAAGUAGAAAAUGAAUUUUAAUGAAUGUUUUGAUGAUUUGGGUGCUAAAAUAGAUGAGAGAUGUCAAUAUUUUGGUCCAAAUGGAUGUUUUAGGUGGUUUUGGACUGUUCCGGAUGGGUGGGGGACCUGGUAUGGACAAGUAAGGGUAACAUUUCCAACAAAUCUUAAAUGUAAAUAUUAUUAUGUCCCUAGAUUGAAGUUUCAGGUGGAGAGCAAGAUGAAAAAUAUGCCAAAUUACAUGCAUGCAGCCCAUUUAUGCCAUUUUUCUCUU